GAUGAACGCUGGCGGCGUGCCUAAUACAUGCAAGUCGAGCGAACGGACGAGAAGCUUGCUUCUCUGAUGUUAGCGGCGGACGGGUGAGUAACACGUGGAUAACCUACCUAUAAGACUGGGAUAACUUCGGGAAACCGGAGCUAAUACCGGAUAAUACUUUGAACCGCAUGGUUCAAAAGUGAAAGACGGUCUUGCUGUCACUUAUAGAUGGAUCCGCGCUGCAUUAGCUAGUUGGUAAGGUAACGGCUUACCAAGGCAACGAUGCAUAGCCGACCUGAGAGGGUGAUCGGCCACACUGGAACUGAGACACGGUCCAGACUCCUACGGGAGGCAGCAGUAGGGAAUCUUCCGCAAUGGGCGAAAGCCUGACGGAGCAACGCCGCGUGAGUGAUGAAGGUCUUCGGAUCGCAAAACUCUGUUAUUAGGGAAGAACAUAUGUGUAAGUAACUGUGCACAUCUUGACGGUACCUAAUCAGAAAGCCACGGCUAACUACGUGCCAGCAGCCGCGGUAAUACGUAGGUGGCAAGCGUUAUCCGGAAUUAUUGGGCGUAAAGCGCGCGUAGGCGGUUUUUUAAGUCUGAUGUGAAAGCCCACGGCUCAACCGUGGAGGGUCAUUGGAAACUGGAAAACUUGAGUGCAGAAGAGGAAAGUGGAAUUCCAUGUGUAGCGGUGAAAUGCGCAGAGAUAUGGAGGAACACCAGUGGCGAAGGCGACUUUCUGGUCUGUAACUGACGCUGAUGUGCGAAAGCGUGGGGAUCAAACAGGAUUAGAUACCCUGGUAGUCCACGCCGUAAACGAUGAGUGCUAAGUGUUAGGGGGUUUCCGCCCCUUAGUGCUGCAGCUAACGCAUUAAGCACUCCGCCUGGGGAGUACGACCGCAAGGUUGAAACUCAAAGGAAUUGACGGGGACCCGCACAAGCGGUGGAGCAUGUGGUUUAAUUCGAAGCAACGCGAAGAACCUUACCAAAUCUUGACAUCCUUUGACAACUCUAGAGAUAGAGCCUUCCCCUUCGGGGGACAAAGUGACAGGUGGUGCAUGGUUGUCGUCAGCUCGUGUCGUGAGAUGUUGGGUUAAGUCCCGCAACGAGCGCAACCCUUAAGCUUAGUUGCCAUCAUUAAGUUGGGCACUCUAAGUUGACUGCCGGUGACAAACCGGAGGAAGGUGGGGAUGACGUCAAAUCAUCAUGCCCCUUAUGAUUUGGGCUACACACGUGCUACAAUGGACAAUACAAAGGGCAGCGAAACCGCGAGGUCAAGCAAAUCCCAUAAAGUUGUUCUCAGUUCGGAUUGUAGUCUGCAACUCGACUACAUGAAGCUGGAAUCGCUAGUAAUCGUAGAUCAGCAUGCUACGGUGAAUACGUUCCCGGGUCU
rnacentral:rRNA from 1 species